rnacentral:pre_miRNA from 7 species
CUUGUAAUUCUUUGAGGGAUUUUUUUUCUUCCUCUUUAAGGACUUCUACUGAAAGACCCCCGAAGGGAGACCCUCACUCAAGCACUCAAGUCCCGGGACAGCCGUGUACCCAAGAAGACACUGAGACCA